rnacentral:lncRNA from 1 species
ACAAGAGUGAAACUCUGUCUCAAAAAAACAAACAAACAAAAAACAACAACAACAAAAAAGAUACCUGAGUAGCCACUGAUCCAAGCCAGAUGAAAGGCCCGCAGCUCAGAGAGAUCAGAUAACUGCUCACCAUAGAGAAGCUCCUCGAGAGACUAAGCCUGGAUACAAAUGUUGGCCUUCUCACUCCAAAUCUUCUUCCUGCAUUCCCACAACAGGCUCAGCGGGGCAUCAUGAGACAGAAAAGCAAAUGAGAAAGGGCCCCAAGCUCAUGCGCGCUCUGACCCUCUUGUAUGCUUUCACCCACUUAUGGGAGAAUGGGUCCUCACAUAUCUCGAGAAGGUUAAAUGGAGACUCAUCUUCAUCAUGGGUUUGGAUUCCCUUGUGAGGCUUCCACGGACAUACGGGGAGGGCUUCUCCAGAGAGGGUUUGGAUUUGCUGCUGUCAAAGGGAGGCAUCCCUGGACCACAUUAAUAAUUUGAAGCCGAACUGCAGACCUGCACGUGGCACAGCUCCAGGCUGUUUGUUGUUGGGGCAGAUUUUUAUUUUUUCAUCCUGAACCCAGGUAGAGGUGUCUGCAUUUCCUCAUCUCUCCCCAUACAGGUGGUGUCUACAGCAUCUCUAAGGCUGCCACAACUGACGCAGCACUUUUAGUCAGGGGUCUUGCCUCUGAAUCCCCAGUUGCAUGGAUUCAUUUGCUGUUGACACUUUGGUGUUAAAGCCCAAGUUCUUGUUUACAAACAUACCUUUCCACUUCAUCUACCUACUUUACCUGCACACCUCACCUCCUCACCUCACCGUCUGUCUCACCUGUACAUCUCACCUACCCACCUCACCUGACCACUUUACCUGUGCACCUUACCUGCACAUCUCACCUCCUCACCUCACCUGACCACUUCACCUGCCCAAACCACCUCCCCAUCUCCCCUGUACAUCUCACCUGCCCAUUUCACUGGCAUACUUCAGCUCCCCACCUCACCUGCCCAUCUCACCUGCGCACCUCACCUGCCCACUUCACCCUGGAGCAGCAGCCUUAGCUCAGGGCUCACCAUAUUUGCUUUCAAUUCUGUCUUAAUGCUUGAGACCAGAGGGUGU